rnacentral:rRNA from 1 species
CCUACGGGAGGCAGCAGUGAGGAAUAUUGGUCAAUGGGCGUAAGCCUGAACCAGCCAAGUCGCGUGAGGGAUGAAGGUUCUAUGGAUCGUAAACCUCUUUUAUAAGGGAAUAAAGUGUGGGACGUGUCCUGUUUUGUAUGUACCUUAUGAAUAAGGAUCGGCUAACGCCGUGCCAGCAGCCGCGGUAAUACGGAGGAUCCGAGCGUUAUCCGGAUUUAUUGGGUUUAAAGGGUGCGUAGGCGGCCUUUUAAGUCAGCGGUGAAAGUCUGUGGCUCAACCAUAGAAUUGCCGUUGAAACUGGGAGGCUUGAGUAUGUUUGAGGCAGGCGGAAUGCGUGGGGUAGCGGUGAAAUGCUUAGAUAUCACGCAGAACCCCGAUUGCGAAGGCAGCCUGCCAAGCCAUGACUGACGCUGAUGCACGAAAGCGUGGGGAUCAAACAGGAUUAGAUACCCCAGUAGUC